GCAAUAUUCAUGGAAGCCAUUUCUAUGUCAGGAUGCUUAACAGCUUCACUCUUCAUCAAACUGCUUCCAGCAGAGGAAGAACUCCACAGUGCCAUAAAGAAUCCCUCUGGCUUUCAACAAACCAUUAUGUGAAGGUCAGGUCUAUAUGCUACCAAGAAGAGUUAAGCCUUCAAACUAAUGUUUGAACACUGAGUACCUGACUGUGUCAGUCAUUCAAGAAGAGCCCAAGGCCCUUCCUGGGUCUGCAACCCUUAGCACCACCCAAGUUGAAGGGAAUGAUGUCAAAUGCCCCAUCAUACCUCAAAUAGGAGACAGGUCAGUAAAGCAAAUGUUUUCACCUUCAUUACAUUUUUUAACCAUCUUACCCAUGGAGAGUGCUCAGCAAAAAUACCUUUCCAACAAAGCUUCACAAUUUACAAAGGAAACACUCUGCAUAUCACUGUUCCAGGCCUUUCCCUUUUACCAGCUCUUACUUCCCCAUCUUUCCAUCUAAUACUCUGUUUUAGUUGUCUUUAUUUUACUAAAUUUUUUUUUUGCAUUUCCUGCUUGUUAUUUUGUCCAGUGAUGAACUCUUAGCAAAGGCAAGACAAUGAAAGCCACAAAAACCUUCACCUUCUUUAGAAGCAAUGAAAGCCAAAGUCUACUAUGACCACAGAGAAAGAUUCCAUUCCCUACCCAUCCUAUGUUAACAGCUUUUUCUCCAUUCACAAUAUAGUAUAUUCAAGAAUACAUAAAUUCUUCAACCCUUUCCUAAUUCCGGACUUAUGUGUUAACACAGAAUCGCUAAGCAACCUAAAGCUAAUUCUUUUAUUGCUGGCCUCUUAUACCAGUGCUUCCUGCCUUGGCUUCAAAUGCAAAAUCUGAAUAAAACUAUGUCUGCCCUCAUGAGGCUUACAUUUGUAAUGGAAUUCAUCAUAAAAACAAAUUCUGUUUGAAUUUUCU